AUCUUAAACCCCAGAUCUUCCACAACUGUCAUUCAAGAAGGCAAAGACUACUUGCUGUGUACUGGAAUGUGUCCUUUAUAUUUGAUAUUAACUAAUGGGGACGAAAUUACUCUUGGCUCUUGAUAUCACAGAGUGUUCCCUUUGGGGGCUGGAUUCCUUCCCAGCAAGUGGUAGCAGCCACCAGCAAAGGUGAACUCCUUGAGCAUACAGAGCACAGAAGGUUUUUGUGAGUACAGAAAAAGACCCCGGAGAUGUGCUGGAGGGAAUGUUUCCAGGCUUAAAACCGUGUCAGGCCCAGCAUAGGCUGCAGGCUGCUACCUCCAACUGCUUUUGGCUCCUUGGUUCCAGGCUGUUGAAAUGUCAGAUGGCAAAAACAAGAAAGAGCUCCAGAUGGAGCAACUGGAAGACAAACACGAUAAAGAUGGUAAUGGGAAAGCUUCAGAGUCACACUUGACUGGGAUUCCCAUGCUUGGGUUUGGGAGUCCCCACCUGUGGCUUCCAAACCCACUCUCUGUGCAAG
rnacentral:lncRNA from 1 species